AAAAAAAAAAAAAAAAAAUAGUAUGCAUACUUUCAUGGUAGGCUUAGAAUAGAAGAAGAGACUUUUGCUGAUUCUAAUUCAGGUUCAUCAUAUUUUUGAAACUGAAAUUGGUUAGUUCGAUAAUUGGUAGUUUAUCAUAACUAGUAUGUAUUGCUAGUUUAUUGGGUCAUUGUUUUAGCCUAUAUUUAAUCUGUUUAUGCUGGCAUGGUUGAAGCUGAAAG
rnacentral:misc_RNA from 1 species